AAAUGGAAAGGAAUAUAAAAGAAAUACAACAGUGUUUCCACACCAAACCGAAAUUAAUGCAAUAGCUGCAUCAACCAUCAUGGAGUAUUACAGUAGAAAAACAAGCUCAACUACAAGAGAAAAACCAUCCAUGGAAAGAAAAGGUGAGGCAUACAUGGAUUAUUUCGCAUCCAAAAACCAUAAUAUAGGCUACUUGUUCGUCAUUUUCUCCCUGACACUUUUCAGAUGGAGGAGCAUCUUAUCAUAGUCGGGAAUGUUUUCUUUAAUCAGAGGAACUUCAAUGAAAUUCUGGGCCCAAGCAUGCAAUCGAGGCAGUGUGCUUGGUUCAAGAACUUUCACACCCGCUGCUUCUUCAAUGGCUGCAAACCAAUAAGCGAAGAGUCCAUAUGAGAUGUCAACUAGAUUUAUGCUGUCACCGCCAAAAAACUUCUUGUCCCCGAGACCUUUCUCUUCUAAGACUCUCAACACUUCCGCCACUUCUUUCACUGCCUUCUCUAGCUCCUCUCCACUAGCUCGGAAAAGGGCACCAAAGGCAGCACCCUAAAUAAUGAAAGAAUUCAAUUUACAAGUCACAGAACAGAGAUAAAUGAAUCGAUAUUUGAAGGUGUUUAGCCUGAGGAGAAUAAAAAUAAAAGAAGGCAAGUUAUGAGAAAUUUUUAAUUAUUUAUUCCACUUUAAGAACAAGAAGAAGAAAAUGUUUUCUGGAAUCGAUUGUCUUUUUCCAGGACUGCUACCAGAUCAAAUUAAUCAUUGUGGGCCUCAUGAACAGUUACAAAAUAUAUACAAGAAGAUGGAUCUCGUUACCUUGGUAACUCCAUAUUGAAUCCAAAACCGAGCCAUGGCUCUCUCGUAAGGAUCUGUCGGUAGCAGUGGAUUCUCCGGCCAUGUUUCCUCGAUGUAUUCAAGGAUAACAAGAGACUCCGCAAUCGGCUUGCCACCAUGGACGAGUACAGGGAUUUUCUUGUAAACUGGGUUAUACUUCAAUAGCAGUUCACUUUUAUUGGUGAGGUCUUCUUCAAUAUACUCAAACUCCACGCCCUUUAGUUUCAGAGCCCAUAUAACUCUGUAACUAAAAGGGCUAGCCCAGAAACCAUGCAGCUUCACAUCUGCCAUUGUUGCAAUAAGAUCAGUAUGCAAGGUCUACUGCUGUGGCAAGUCUUCUUAUUGCCACUCUUGGCUUGGGCAAUAAGUUUUGGAUGCAAGAAACAUUUUUUUAUAUUACAAGUAUUGACUUGACUUGGUCCAUAACUUUGAUUCCGAUUUUUUUUUAAUUUAACUUGGACAUCGUAAUUUGCAAGUAAUCCGUACGAUGAAUUUUUAUUUAUUUUUUUGGGUCACGGUGUGCAGUUUAUUACUUUAUUUUCCUUGCAAGAAACACUGACUACUCUGUAGAAAGUUACAUUCUUUGAACGUAUUCAUGCCUAGCCUUCGGAUUAGGUGGUGGAACCUGACAUGCCUACCAAUAUCACGAUGUUAUUGAAUUAAGACAAGCAGAAAUAAACUAUCCGAUUUGACAACCUUUUUCUUUUGUUAACCUCUGCCAAAUAAUCGAUUAUCUGAAUUGAUCACUAAUUAACUACAAACUAAAUUUUUUAAUAUUAAUGGUUGUAAUUUAACUUGUAAAAUUUUGAAUUUGUUUUUUUUAAGUUUAUUAAGUGUUAUAAAUUUUAAGUUCAUUAAAAAUUUACUUUAUUAAUUUUAGAGUCUUUUAAAAUUAGUUGAAGCACUCGUAAGCUGACUCAAAUACUCACGAUUAACAAAAUAUAUAUAUAUAUAUAUAUAUGCUGAAAUUAUUUUGCACUUCUUUUUAAUUUAUUGGAAUUGAAGUAGUAUAUUUUUAAUAAUUUUUAUUUUGAUAUUUAAAUUUUUAUUUUGUGCAAUUUACUUUUUGCAAGUACAAAUUAACUUUUAAUUACAUAUUUUUAAAGGAAAAAAAAAAGUUGAAUUUAAAUAUAGCAAACUAAAGCAAAAAUCUCGGUGAUAUGGCGGCAGCAGUUAAAAAUUUAUUAAAAUAUUUAUCUUAAUUCUCUCAUGUUUUUUAGAUAUUGAUGACCAAUGUUUUAAAUUUAAAGACAAUACAUUUUGGUAUCUACUUUAUUUUCUCUUUUCUAUUGUUUUCUAUGGGAGGAGAGAGAAAGAGCUGUCGAAUUCCAACUUAGAUAUAGAAAGUUGUCGUUGUGGAAGAUUCUAACAGCCAAAACGAUUGAUUUUUAGGUCAAAAUAUUUCAUAUAAUGAGAGGGUUAUGUUUGGGUGUUUGUUUACCUUGAAAACACCUCAAGCAACAAAUUUAAGCUCAUGAAGAAUUUUAUUUUCUUGUGUGUUUUAGGUUUUGUGGUGGUUUAUUAGAUUUCUGGAGAUCAUGAAUUGGUUUAAUAAGAUUUCUAGAGUAUUUUCAAUAUGUUUUGAGUCAAAAUAAGUUAAAAAAGAGAUUUUGGAUGAAAAAACAAAGGAUCUCAUUUUUCUAGCUACCAUAGUGGUCGGAUUAUAUGUUUCACAGGUGAAACGUCUUUGUAUAUAUAUAUAAUUGAAACGGACAACACUUUAUUCACCUAGAGUCUUUUAAAAUUAGUUGAAGCACUCGUAAGCUGACUCAAAUACUCACGAUUAACAAAAUAUAUAUAUAUAUAUAUAUGCUGAAAUUAUUUUGCACUUCUUUUUAAUUUAUUGGAAUUGAAGUAGUAUAUUUUUAAUAAUUUUUAUUUUGAUAUUUAAAUUUUUAUUUUGUGCAAUUUACUUUUUGCAAGUACAAAUUAACUUUUAAUUACAUAUUUUUUAAAGGAAAAAAAAAGUUGAAUUUAAAUAUAGCAAACUAAAGCAAAAAUCUCGGGUGAUAUGGCGGCAGGUUAAAAAUUUCAUUAAAACAUUUAUCUUAAUUCUCUCAUGUUUUUUAGAUAUUAGAUGACCAAUGUUUUAAAUUUAAAGACAAUACAUUUUGGUAUCUAACUUUAUUUUUCUCUUUUCUAAUUGUUUUCUAUUGGGAGGAGAGAGAAAGAGCUGUCGAAUUCCAACUUAAAUAUAGAAAGUUGUCGUUGUGGAAGAUUCUAACAGCCAAAACGAUUGAUUUUUAGGUCAAAAUAUUUCAUAUAAUGAGAGGGUUAUGUUUGGGUGUUUGUUUACCUUGAAAACACCUCAAGCAACAAAUUUAAGCUCAUGAAGAAUUUUAUUUUCUUGUGUGUUUUAGGUUUUGUGGUGGUUUAUUAGAUUUCUGGAGAUCAUGAAUUGGUUUAAUAAGAUUUCUAGAGUAUUUUCAAUAUGUUUUGAGUCAAAAUAAGUUAAAAAAGAGAUUUUGGAUGAAAAAACAAAGGAUCUCAUUUUUCUAGCUACCAUAGUGGUCGGAUUAUAUGUUUCACAGGUGAAACGUCUUUGUAUAUAUAUAUAAUUGAAACGGACAACACUUUAUUCACCUAGAGUCUUUUAAAAUUAGUUGAAGCACUCGUAAGCUGACUCAAAUACUCACGAUUAACAAAAUAUAUAUAUAUAAUAUCUGAAAUUAUUUUGCACUUCUUUUAAUUUAUUGGAAUUGAAAGUAGUAUAUUUUUAAUAAUUUUUAUUUUGAUAUUUAAAUUUUUAUUUGUGCAAUUUACUUUAAGUACAAAUUAACUUAUACAUAUUUUUUAAAGGAAAAAAAAGUUGUUUAAUAUAGCAAACUAAAGCAAAAAUCUCGGUGAUAUAUCGGCAUUAAAAAUUUAAUUUAUCUUAAUUCUCUCAUGUUUUUUAGAUAUUAGAUGACCAAUGUUUUAAAUUUAAAGACAAUACAUUUUGGUAAUCAUAACUUUAUUUUCUCUAUAUUAUUGUUCAAGGAGAGAGAAAGAGCUGUCGAAUUCCAACUUAGAUAUAGAAAGUUGUCGUACAGCCAAACGAUUGAUUUUUAGUCAAUAAUAUAAUGAGGGGUUAUGUGGUGUUUGUUUACCUUGAAAACACUCAAGCAACAAAUUUAAGCUCAUGAAGAAUUUUAUUUUCUUGUGUGUUUUAGGUUUUGUGGUGGUUUAUUAGAUUUCUGGAGAUCAUGAAUUGGUUUAAUAAGAUUUCUAGAGUAUUUUCAAUAUGUUUUGAGUCAAAAUAAGUUAAAAAAGAGAUUUUGGAUGAAAAAACAAAGGAUCUCAUUUUUCUAGCUACCAUAGUGAUCGGAUUAUAUGUUUCACAAGUGAAACGUCUUUGUAUAUAUAUAUAAUUGAAACGGACAACACUUUAUUCACCUAGUUAAACUAUUUUGAAAAAUAAAGGCCUGAGUGCGGGUCGUUGCUUUAUUAGGCCAUGCACUAGGCCUGACCUUGUUCUUUUUAAAAAAAAAAUAAUUUUUAAAAAAAUAAUAAAUUAUUCGUGUAUAUUUUUUCAAAUAAAUUUUGGGUUUAUAUUUAAAAAGAUUGUGACUGUUUUAAAAUGAUAUUUGGUGUGUUUAAUUUUUAGAGAGAUAAGUAUGAUUCAUUCGUGAUUUUUUUCUUAAUUUUAUAUAAAUUAAGUUUGUUUUUUUUUAAUAUGAUUUUUUUGUAGGAUUUUUUAUACGUGUAGCCUUGCAUUGUUUUUUUAAUUAUUGUUUUUGUUUUACAAAUUUAUUUUGAUAAAGGAAUUCAUUAGAUAUAAUCACGUAAAUUACUCUUAUUGCAAUGUUAGAUAUCUUGAUUUUUAUUUUUAGCUUGGUUUUUUCAAUUUUAUUUUUGUCCAUUGUUGAUUAUUUUUUUUUCAUUGCUUUACAUAAUAGUUACUGGAUUAUUUAAUUAGAUGCAUGCUUAGGUUAUUUGAUUUACACUUAGGAGUUUUUUUAGUAUAAAAAAAAACGUUGAAGAACUCUGUAUAAAUUUUAUUUAUGUUUUGAUGUUUAUUCUUAUGAUUUUUAAUUUUUUUUCUUUGAAUUUUUUAUAGAAGUUUCAUUGUUUUUAGUUUCAUUACUCAAUCCAAGUUUAUAAUUUAUUAUUUUUUUUAUCUUUUUACUUUUGAUUUUUGUUCUUUUAUUAAUGUUUUUAUUCUCUUCAAUUUAGCUCUCAAAACUAAAAUCCGUUGUUUCCUUUUGAUUUAUUUUAUUGUAAUUUUAACACUUAUUGUUUUUAUUUUGGAUUUUUUGUGUUUUUUUUUUGUGAUAUAGUUUUUUUGGUUUUAUAACCCAGGUCAUGGUUUAAAAAGUUAGCAGUAAUUAACUUUUUUUUAUCUUAUUUGUUUAUAUUCAUAUUUUUUUAUAUUUUUUUCUAUAAAAUUAUCAUAUUAUCAUUUAAUUUUUAUCUUGUUAACAAAUAAAAUCAUUGAGAUGUUUUUGGAAUAUUGUGAAGAUAUAUUUUUAUAAUAUUGGUAAGUGUUUAUUUUUUGCAUUGAAUUGUUAUUUUUUUUGUUUUAUUUAUUGUGAAUAUCUUAUUUUUUAAUAAUAUUAUUUAAUUAACAAAGUUUAUUACACUCAUUCAAGCCAAUUUUUUAAAUAUUAUAUUUAUUUUUGUUUUGUUUUAUUUUAUUUUAUUUCAUAUUUUUUACACCAAAACAAAAUUGAUGGCGGUUUUAGUUUUGGUGCCCAGAUAACCCGCUGGUUGAAUGGACUUGGACUCAACCUGAAUAACUUCAUAUCUACCAUACUGAUAACUGAACUAUGACUUGUGUUCAACAAAUGAGGGCUUUAAAUUAUUCAUUGCAGAUUUUUUUUUCUUUUUUUUAUUGCAGUCUUUUCUUCCUGGUUGUCCAAAUAAAUGGAAAAUUAAAAAUUAUUGACUCCACAACACAAAAGGUCUUGCUUAGAUAACCCUGGUUAGAAGAAAAAUACAUCCAGCGUUCUCUUGGUCCAUUCCUGGAUAACACAAAGAUCAUGGCCUUCAUUAAUGAGUUUAAGAGUGUGUUUAUUUUUUUAAAAGUGAUUUUCAAGAAAUUAUUUUCAAAAAAAAUUUGUAUUUAUUUAUUAUUGAAAAAAUUAAUUAAUGAAAAACAUUUUUCAAUUAUAUAAAAAUUUAACUCGAUUUUCAGAAAAGUACUUUCAUUUUAUUUUGAAAGAAAAACACUUUUUUAAAUUGUAAAAUAUUUAAAAAUAUCAUAAUAUUUACUAAUUAUAUCAAAUAUGAUCGUAUCUUCAUUUAAUUACUAACCUAUAAUUAGUAUAUUUUGUAAAUUGAAAUUUUAGCUUUAGUACCUUUCUCAAAGACAAGUCUACUUCGUCUUUCAUGAUCUAGCCAUUAUGAGAUUGGCUUUCUCAAAAAACUGGUGCUGUACGGAACCAAAAGAUCACGAAGUAACGAUACUCAUGACACAAACAAUGGCAUGAAUGCAACUUCUUGACCCAUUUUCCAAUGUGGGUAUUCAUGUUUCUUGAUUUUGUGAAAUCAUAAAUGUCGCAACCCGGAAAAAGAUUUUUAUAUAAUUAUAAAGUUUAAGAGUAAUGAUCUAAAAUUAUGAAUACUAUAAAAUUUAUUAAUCUACGAGAGACUUGUUAUGUAAAACAAAGAUGCAUCACCCCCUCCCCUGGAAAACAGAUUUAUUGAACCUUGAGUGAAUUUGGAAAUAGCUCUAAUCUCAGGAUUACUGUCAGUUAAUGUUGAUGUAAACUAGAUGAACCCUCAUUAUGGUACUUCGGCUAAAUGUUUAUACGAAAUCCACAUACAAAUUCAUUAGCACUGUUAUAUCCAGCCGAUUUGUUUUCCGAGUGAUAUGGGCUCUGAAAAUGAAGGGCAUUCCAUACGAGUACAUAGAAGAAGAUGUUACCAACAAAGGUCCUCUGCUUCUGAAGAAGAACCCUGUUCUUAAGAAGAUCCCAGUGCUUCUCCAUGGCGAAAAACCAGUUUGCGAGUCCAUGAUUAUUGUCGAAUACAUCGAUGAGAUAUGGCCCCAAAAUCCCUUGUUGCCCAAUGACCCUUACGAGAGAGCUCCGGCUCGUUUCUGGGUCAAAUUUACCGACGAUAAGGUAAAGAGUACAUGCAUCAUUUUACAUAUAAUAUUACUAUGAAACCGAGUUCUGGGCUUUAAAAAGAAAUUGGUUUCUGCUGAUUUGGUUAGUUCAUGAUCGAUGAUGAAUCAUUAGGUUGACUUGCCGAGCAGUUCUGAUAAAAUUGAUUAAGGGAAAAAAAGUAAAUGGAAAGGAAUAUAAAAGAAAUACAACAGUGUUUACACACCAAAUUAACCGAAAUUAAUGCAAUAGCUGCAUCAACCAUUAUGGAGUAUUACAGUAGAAAAACAAACUCAACUGCAAGAGAAAAACCAUCCAUGGAAACGAAAAGGUGAGGCAUACAUGGAUUAUUUCGCAUCCAAAAGCAUAAUAUAGGCUACUUGUUCGUCUUUUUCUCCCUGACACUUUUCAUAUGGAGGAGCAUCUUAUCAUAGUCGGGAAUGUUUUCUUUAAUCAGAGGAACUUCAAUGAAAUUCUGGGCCCAAGCAUGCAAUCGAGGCAGUGUGCUUGGUUCAAGAACUUUCACACCCGCUGCUUCUUCAAUGGCUGCAAACCAAUAAGCGAAGAGUCCAUAUGAGAUGUCAACUAGAUUUAUGCUGUCACCGCCAAAAAACUUCUUGUCCCCGAGACCUUGCUCUUCUAAGACUCUCAACACUUCCGCCAUUUCUUUCACUGCCUUCUCUAGCUCCUCUCCACUAGCUCGGAAAAAGGCACCAAAGGCAGCACCCUAAAUUAUGAAAGAAUUGAAUUUACAAGUCACAGAACAGAGAUAAAUGAAUAGAUAUUUGAAGGUGUUUAGCCUGAGGAGAGUAAAAAUAAAGGAAGGCAAGUUAUGAGAAAUUUUUAAUUAUUAUUCCACUUUAAGAACAAGGAGAAGAAAAUGUUUUAUGGAAUCGAUUGUUUUUUUCCAGGACUGCUACCAGAUCAAAUUAAACAUUGUGGGCCUCAUGAACAGUUACAAAAUAUAUACAAGAAGAUGGAUCUCGUUACCUUGGUACCUCCAUAUUGAAUCCAAAACCGAGCCAUGGCUCUCUCGUAAGGAUCAGUCGGUAGCAGUGGAUUCUCCGGCCAUGUUUCCUCGAUGUAUUCAAGGAUAACAAGAGACUCCGCAAUCGGCUUGCCACCAUGGACGAGUACAGGGAUUUUCUUGUAAACUGGGUUAUACUUCAAUAGCAGUUCACUUUUAUUGGUGAGGUCUUCUUCAAUAUACUCAAACUCCACGCCCUUUAGUUUCAGAGCCCAUAUAAUUCUGUAACUAAAAGGGCUAGCCCAGAAACCAUGCAGCUUCACAUCUGCCAUCGUUCCAAUGAGAUCAGAAUGCAAGGUCUCCUGCUGUGCCGAGUCCUCUUAUAGCGUCUUUUGGCUUGGGCAACAAGUAUUGGAUGCAAGAAACAUUUUUUUAUAUUGCAAGUAUUGACUUGACUUGGUCCAUAACUUUGAUUCCGAUUUUUUUUUAAUUUAACUUGGACAUCGUAAUUUGCAAGUAAUCCGUACGAUGAUUUUUUUUUUUUUUUGGGUCACGGUAUGCAGUUUAUUACUUUAUUUUCCUUUCAAGAAACUCUGACUACUCUGUAGAAAGUCACAUUCUUUGAACGUAUUCAUGCCUAGCCUUCGGAUUAGGUGGUGGAACCUGACAUGCCUACCAAUAUCACGAUGUUAUUGAAUUAAGAAAAGCAGAAAUAAACUAUCCGAGUUGCAACCUUUUUCUUUUGUUAACCUCUGCCAAAUAAUCCAUCGACUAUCUGAUUGAUCACUAAUUAACUACAAACUAAAUUUUUUAAUAUUGAUGAUUUGUAGUUUAACUUGUAAAAUUUUGAAUUUGUUUUUUUAAAGUUUAUUUAAUGUUAUAAAUUUUGAAAUUACUAAAAAUUUAUCUUAUUAAUUUUAUAGUAUCAUGACAUUAGUUAAAACGCUUCUAAACAAACUUAAAUACUCACGGUUAUAUAUAUAUAUAUAUAUAUAUAUAUAUAUAUAUAUAUUAUCUUUCUAAUAUGCUGAAAUUAUUUGCACUUCUUUAUAAUUUAUUGGAAUUGAAGUAGUGUAUUUUUAAUAAUUUUUAGUUUGAUAUUUAAAUUUUUAUUUUGUGCAAUUUACUUUUCUCAAGUACAAAUUAACUUUUAAUUACAUAUUUUUUAAAGGAAAAAAAAAGUUGAAUUUAAAUAUAGCAAACUAAAGCAAAAAUAUAGAGUGAUAUGGCUACAGAUUAAAAAUUUUAUUAAAACAUUUAUUUUAAUUCUCUCAUGUUUUUUAGAUAUUAGAUGACCAAUGUUUUAAAUUUAAAGACAAUAUAUUUUGAUAUCUAACUUUAUUUUUCUCUUUUGUGUAGUUGUUUUCUACUGGGAGGAAAGAGAAAGAGCUGUCGAAUUCUAACUUAGAUAUAGAAAGUUGUCACUAUGGAAGAUUCUAAUAGCCAAAAUGAUUGAUUUUUAGGUCAAAAUAUUUCAUAUAAUGAGAGGGUUAUGUUUAGGUGUUUGUUUACCUUAAAAACACCUCAAGCAACAAAUUUAAGUUCAUGAAGAAUUUUAUUUUCUUGUGUUUUUAGGUUUUGUGGUGAUUUAUUAGGUUUCUGGAGAUCAUGAAUUAGUUUAAUUUAAUUUUUCUAGAGUAUUUUCAAUAUGUUUUGAGUCAAAAGAAGUUGAAAAGAAGAUUUUGGAUGAAAAAACAAAGGACCUUAUUUUUAUAGCCACCAUAGUGAUCCGAUUAUAUGUUUCACAGGUGAAACGUCUUUAUAUAUAUAUAAUUGAAACGGACAACAUGUUGUUCACCUAGUUAAACUCUUUUAAAAAAUAAAGGCCUGUGUGCGGGCCGUUGCUUUAUUAGGCCAUGUACUAGGCCUAACCUUGUUCUUUUUAAAAAGAAAAUUUAGUUUUUUAAAAAAUAAUAAAUUAUUUGCGUGUAUUUUUUCAAAUAAAUUUUGGGUUUAUAUUUUAAAAAGAUUGUGACCAUUUUAAAAUGAUAUUGGGUGUGUUAAAUUUUUUUUUAGAGAGAUGAGUAUGAUUCAUCCGUGAUUUUUUUUUCUAAAUUUUAUAUAAAUUAAGUUUGUUUUUUUUAAUAUGAUUUUUUAUAAGAUUUUUUUAUAUGUAUAGCCUUGCAUUGUUUUUUUUAAUUAUUAUUAAGUAAAUUUUAUGUGUGUGUCGAUUUCUAUUAUAAAAUUUAUGUGUUUUUGUUUUACAAAUUUAUUUUGAUAAAGGAAUUCAUUAGAUAUAAUCAAGUAAAUUACUCUUAUUGCAAUGUUAGAUAUCUUGAUUUUUAUUUUUAGCUUGGUUUUUUCAAUUUUAUUUUUGUCCAUUGUUGAUGAUUUUUUUUUCAUUGCUUUACAUAAUAGUUACUAGAUUAUUUAAUUAGAUACAUGCUUAGGUUAUUUGAUUUACACCUAGGAGUUUUUUUAGUAUAAAAAAACACAUUGAAGAACUCUGUAUACAUUUUAUUUAUGUUUUGAUGUUCAAGAUUUGAUGUUUAUUCUUAUGAUUUUUAAAUUUUUUUUCUUUGAAUUUUUUAUGGAAGUUUCAUUGUUUUUAGUUUUAUUAUUCAAUCAAAGUUUAUAAUGUAUUGUUUUUUUAUGUUUUUUUUUUAUCUUUUUACUUUUGAUUUUUGUUCUUUUAUUAAUGUUUCCAUUCUCUUCAAUUUAGCUCUCAAAACUAAAAUCUGUUGUUGCCUUUUGAUUUAUUUUAUUGUAAUUUUAACACUUAUUGUUUUUAUUUUGGAUUUUUUGUGUUUUUUUUUUUGUGAUAUAGUUUUUUUUGGUUUUAUAACCCGAGUCAUGGUUUAAAAAGUUAGCAGUAAUUAACUUUUUUUUAUCUUAUUUGUUUAUAUUCAUAUUUUUUAUAUUUUUUUCUAUAAAAUUAUCAUAUUCUCAUUUAAUUUUUAUUUUGUUAACAAAUAAAAUCAUUGAGAUGUUUUUGGAAUAUUGUGAAGAUAUAUUUUUAUAAUAUUGGUAAGUGUUUAAUUUUUGCAUUGAAUUGUUAUUUUUUUUGUUUUAUUUAUUGUCAAUAUCUUAUUUUUUAAUAAUAUUAUUAAAUUAAAAAAAUUUAUUAAACUCAUUCAAGCCAAUUUUUUAAAUAUUAUAUUUAUUUUUGUUUUGUUUUGUUUUGUUUUAUUUUAUUUUUUCAUAUUUUUGACACCAAAACAAAAUUGAUGGCGGUUUUAGUUUUGGUGCCCAGAUAACCCGCUGGCUGAAUGGGCUUGAACUCAACCCUAAUAACUUUAUAUCUACCAUAUUGAUAACUGAACUGUGACUUGUGUUCAACGAAUGAGGGCUUUAAAUUAUUCAUUACAGACUUUUUUUUUCUUUUUCUCUUUUUAUUGCAGACUUUUCUUCCUGGCUGUCCAAAUAAAUGGAAAAUUAAAAUUUAUCAACUCCACAACACAAAAGGUCUUGCUUAGAUAACCCUGGUUAGGAGAAAAAUACAUUUCAGCGUUCUCUUGGUCCAUUCCUGGAUAACACAAAGAUGAUGGCCUUCAUCAACGAGUCUAAGGGUGUGUUUAUUUUUUUAAAAGUUAUUUUUAAGAAAUUUUUUUUAAUUUUUUUGUAUUUAUUUGUUAUUAAAAAAGUUGGUGAAUGAAAAACACUUUCCGAUCAUAUAAAAAUUUAGCUAGAUUUUCAGAAAAGUAUUUUCAUUUUAUUUUGGAAGAAAAACACUUUUUAUAAGUUGUAAAAUAUUUAAAAAUAUCAUAUUAUUUACUGAUUAUAUCAAAUGUGAUCCAAUCUUCACUUAAUUACUAACCUAUAAUUAGUAUAUUUUGUAAAUUGAAAUUUUAGCUUUAGUACCUUUCUCAAAGACAAGACUACUUUUUUUAUUUAUUUACGUGGGUGUCCGGGCCAACUUGUGCGCACCACGACUAAUCUCACGGCCCACUGAACAUCCUACAAGCCCAGUGAGCAUAUAAAACACCACGGAGGUGACAUGCGUGCACAAUGAGACUUGAACCCUGGUGCAGAGGAAGGGAACAAGUCCCUUCUACUACUAGGCCAAGACCUCAAGUGCAUACAAGACUACUUCUUCAUGAUCUGGCCAUUAUGAGAUUGGCUUUCUCAAAAAACUGGUGUUGUACGGAACUAAAAGAUCACGAAUUAACGAUAUUCAUGAUACAAACAAUGGCAUGAAUGCAACUUCUUGAUCCAUUAUCCAAUGUGGGUAUUCAUGUUUCUUGAUUUUGUGAAAUCAUAAAUGUCGCAACCCGGAAAAAGAUUUUUAUAUAAUUAUAAAGUUUAAGAGUAAUGAUCUAAAAUUAUGAAUACUAUAAAAUUUAUUAAUCUACGAGAGACUUGUUAUGUAAAACAAAGAUGCAUCACCCCCUCCCCUGGAAAACAGAUUUAUUGAACCUUGAGUGAAUUUGGAAAUAGCUCUAAUCUCAGGAUUACUGUCAGUUAAUGUUGAUGUAAACUAGAUGAACCCUCAUUAUGGUACUUGGGCUAAAAGUUUAUACGAAAUCCACAUACAAAAUCAUUAGCACUGUUAUUCUAUUCUGGGUGUCCCAUUCAAAGCAGACCCCUCCCUGUCCAACCAAAACGCCCUCCUGGUUCUUCUGUUUACCUUUCUUGGCUGUCAAGAGGCGUGGCAAAGAAGAUUAGCAUUGAUACCGUCAUGCAUGGCGUAUAUCUAAACGGCAACUUCCAGGAGAUGAUAUGUAUGGUCAACAUUAUUAACAUUAAUAAUGCUUAUUUAACCCAGAAAAUCAUGAAGUAAAUCGCAAACCGUGAGAAAUUGCUGAGAAACUUCUACAGAAAAAGAAAGAACAUGCAUCGCAUUAAUUAUUGCAUUUCUUAUCUCCAUAGUCAAGUCUUCUUUCGACAGAGAAUUGAAGUGAAUAUGAUUAUGUAAGCAAAUAUAUCAAUAAUGGAGGAAGUAAACCUUCUUUUCGAGGUAUAUCCCUUUCAUUAACUAAAUUAUUUUGAAUUUGCUGACCCAUCACACAGAAGCAAAGGCAAAAGAAUAUUGAUGGUCGGAAGUCUGUUUACAUUGUAUUAAAAUAAUUUUUUUUUCUUUUAAAAAAAUAUAUUUAACUUUGGAUCAUCAAAAUAAUAUAAAAAUAUAAAAAAAUAAUUUUUUUAAAAGUACGUCUGAAAUGCAUUCGCGGCCGCCCUCGAUAGCAAAUGUGUACUGCCCACAGCCCAAGCAAGACUCUUUCAUUAAAAAUCAGCACUAUAAAUGACAAUGGCAGGUAAAGAACAGUCACCGUACAAAUCCCUUGGUCAUGGCGGAGGUAGUGAAGCUGCUCGGAGCAUUGUCCAGCCCAUUUGUUUUCCGAGUGAUAUGGGCUCUAAAAAUGAAGGGCAUUCCAUAUGAGUUCAUAGAAGAAGAUGUUACCAGCAAAAGUCCUCUGCUUCUGAAGAAGAACCCUGUUCUUAAGAAGAUCCCAGUGCUUCUCCAUGGCGAAAAACCAGUUUGCGAGUCCAUGAUUAUUGUCGAAUACAUUGAUGAGAUAUGGCCCCAAAAUCCCUUGUUGCCCAAUGACCCUUACGAGAGAGCUCUGGCUCGUUUCUGGGUCAAAUUUACCGGCGAUAAGGUAAAGAGUACAGGCAUCAUUUUACAUUACAUCAAAUAUUACUAUGAAACCGAGUUCUGGGCUUUAAAAAAAAACUGGUUUCUGCUGAUUUGGUUAGUUCAUGAUCAAUGAUGAAUCAUUAGGUUGACUUGCCGAGCUGUUCUGAUAAAAUUGAUUAACGGAAAGAAAGUAAAUGGAAAGGAAUAUAAAAGAAAUACAACAGUGUUUACACACCAAACCGAAAUUAAUGCAAUAGCUGCAUCAACCAUUAUGGAGUGUAUUACAGUAGAAAAACAAGCUCAACUACAAGAGAAAAACCAUCCAUGGAAACGAAAAGGCGAGGCAUACAUGGAAUAUUUCGCAUCCAAAAGCAUAAUCUAGGCUACUUGUUCAUCAUUUUCUCCCUGACACUUUUCAUAUGGAGGAGCAUCUUAUCAUUGUCAGGAAUGUUUUCUUUAAUCAGAGGAACUUCAAGGAAAUUCUGGGCCCAAGCAUGCAAUCGAGGCAGUGUGCUUGGUUCAAGAACUUUCACACCCGCUAGUUCUUCAAUGGCUGCAAACCAAUAAGCGAAGAGUCCAUAUGAGAUGUCAACUAGAUUUAUGCUGUCACCGCCAAAAAACUUCUUGUCCCCGAGACCUUGCUCUUC
rnacentral:lncRNA from 1 species